rnacentral:rRNA from 1 species
AGUAACGCGUGAGGAACCUGCCUCAAAGAGGGGGACAACAGUUGGAAACGACUGCUAAUACCGCAUAAGCCCACGGCUCGGCAUCGAGCAGAGGGAAAAGGAGUGAUCCGCUUUGAGAUGGCCUCGCGUCCGAUUAGCUAGUUGGUGAGGUAACGGCCCACCAAGGCGACGAUCGGUAGCCGACCUGAGAGGGUGAUCGGCCACAUUGGAACUGAGAGACGGUCCAG